rnacentral:rRNA from 1 species
AGAGUUUGAUCAUGGCUCAGAUUGAACGCUGGCGGCAUGCCUUACACAUGCAAGUCGAACGGCAGCACGGGAGCUUGCUCCUGGUGGCGAGUGGCGAACGGGUGAGUAAUACAUCGGAACGUACCCUGAAGUGGGGGAUAACGUAGCGAAAGUUACGCUAAUACCGCAUAUUCUGUGAGCAGGAAAGAGGGGGAUCGCAAGACCUCUUGCUUUAGGAGCGGCCGAUGUCGGAUUAGCUAGUUGGUGAGGUAAAGGCUCACCAAGGCGACGAUCCGUAGCGGGUCUGAGAGGAUGAUCCGCCACACUGGGACUGAGACACGGCCCAGACUCCUACGGGAGGCAGCAGUGGGGAAUUUUGGACAAUGGGCGCAAGCCUGAUCCAGCCAUGCCGCGUGAGUGAAGAAGGCCUUCGGGUUGUAAAGCUCUUUCGGUGGGGAAGAAAUUGCUUCGGUUAAUACCUGGAGUAGAUGACGGUACCCGCAUAAGAAGCACCGGCUAACUACGUG